rnacentral:rRNA from 1 species
GACGAACGCUGGCGGCGUGCUUAACACAUGCAAGUCGAACGGAAAGGCCCUGCUUGCAGGGUCCUCGAGUGGCGAACGGGUGAGUAACACGUGGGUGAUCUGCCCUGCACUUCGGGAUAAGCCUGGGAAACUGGGUCUAAUACCGGAUAGGAGCCAUUUUUAGUGGGAUGGGUGGAAAGUUUUUUCGGUGUAGGAUGAGCUCGCGGCCUAUCAGCUUGUUGGUGGGGUAAUGGCCUACCAAGGCGGCGACGGGUAGCCGGCCUGAGAGGGUGGACGGCCACAUUGGGACUGAGAUACGGCCCAGACUCCUACGGGAGGCAGCAGUGGGGAAUAUUGCACAAUGGGCGCAAGCCUGAUGCAGCGACGCCGCGUGGGGGAUGACGGCCUUCGGGUUGUAAACUCCUUUCGCUAGGGACGAAGCUUUUUGUGACGGUACCUAGAUAAGAAGCACCGGCUAACUACGUGC